GGGAGUUCGUGCAUGCAGGCUUCCGGGACUCCUGGUCGCGUUCUGUUGUUUGUUUGUUUGUUUAAGACGGAGUCUUGCACUGUUGCCCGGGCUGCAGUGCAAUGGCGCGAUCUCGGCUCACUGCAACCUCCACCUCCCGGGUUCACGCGAUUCUCCUGCUUCAGCCUCCCGAGUAGCUGGGAUGACAGUUGCACACCACCAUGCCUGCAACAAGAAAAUAAAAUGGUCCACACGUAAAUGAAUGCUUGAUGUACAACAAAGGUGCACUGCAGGUCAGCGGGAGAAAAAAGUCUUUCCAAUAAGUGGCGCUAGGACAAUUGCGUACCAUGCUGGAAAAAGAAGAAAUUGAACUCCUAACUCACACAAAAGUCAAUUCCAGGGUGUCAUCUCCCAGCCGGCACUUUAGCUGUAACUUCAAGAGGCAAUUUCACUACUCUUUCAUGAUGGCAGUUUCUAGAUGGUGCAUGAUCCACAACCACAUGCCCAAUGCCAUACCUCAGCUGCUAUGAAGACAGUCUCGUGGUUCAAAGACAAUGUUAGGCGCCAUCCCAGAGUUGAAUGGAACUGAUAUAAACAAUAGGCCGCCGAGUGACUAGUUGGUCAUCUGAAGGAAGAAUACCAAUAAGAAAAGUCAUGGAGAACUGAAAGCUCAUGGUGUGUUCAGAGAACAGCUAGCAGAGGAGAGGAGGAAAGAAGAGAAGGAAGGAAGAAGAUCAAGCUGAAAUGGCUGGCCAUGGUGGCUACAACUGGAGCAGCCAUUUGGGUGGUGAGGUGAGUUCAAGAUGGAAGCCAAGCACAACCUAGAAGGACCCUGACUCCCUGACACCAUGGUUUGCCAUACAGGACCUGGACUGAUUCCCUCUGGAACUUUAUCUGAGAGAAAUAAACUUCUGUCUUGCUUAAG
rnacentral:lncRNA from 1 species